AACCACAUGGCAGCCUUGAUCUAGUGUGAAGAACCCCAGGCCAGCCUCUGGAGACCCAGAUUUCAUUUUGCCUCUCUUGGUACUUCACUGUGUGAACUCAGGACCACACCUUUUGUCUGCAGCAGACGGCCCUCACUCCUGUCCCCUAAAAUGCACUCAGCUCUUCCCCUAUGGAGGAACAAGUUUGGCUCCACCUCCAGGCACUGAGAAAAAGCCAAGGACAGAAAGCAGGCCUCACUGUCAACGUUUUCGGUGUCAUUUUCCUAAUGCUGACUACGUAUCACUUGCCAAGUUCCAGUUUUUAUCUGAUCAUCUUUGCAUCAAUAAUACAUGAAGUUGGAUCUUCUGAAAAGAGGAUACUUUUCUCCCCACUGAAUGUGUUGCUUUUGCCAGCACAAACAUGGAUUUGGAUUUAAUAAUCUGUAGGCCUUUGGGUUUGAUCACACUUUGCAGGAAACCCCAAAAAGAGCGACGGCCACAUAUCCACCAACAUGGACUCAAUUGCUCCUCCUUAAUAAAUGCAAUCA